rnacentral:rRNA from 1 species
UACGUAGGGUGCAAGCGUUGUCCGGAAUUAUUGGGCGUAAAGAGCUCGUAGGCGGUUUGUCGCGUCUGCUGUGAAAACCUAAGGCUCAACCUUGGGCUUGCAGUGGGUACGGGCAGACUAGAGUGCGGUAGGGGGUGACUGGAAUUCCUGGUGUAGCGGUGGAGUGCGCAGAUAUCAGGAGGAACACCGAUGGCGAAGGCAGGUCACUGGGCCGCAACUGACGCUGAGGAGCGAAAGCAUGGGGAGCGAACAGG